GCGUGAGGGAUGACGGCCUUCGGGUUGUAAACCUCUUUCAGCAGGGAAGAAGCCACAAGUGACGGUACCUGCAGAAGAAGCGCCGGCUAACUACGUGCCAGCAGCCGCGGUAAUACGUAGGGCGCAAGCGUUGUCCGGAAUUAUUGGGCGUAAAGAGCUCGUAGGCGGUUUGUCGCGUCUGCUGUGAAAGCCCGGGGCUUAACCCCGGGUGUGCAGUGGGUACGGGCAGACUAGAGUGCAGUAGGGGAGACUGGAAUUCCUGGUGUAGCGGUGGAAUGCGCAGAUAUCAGGAGGAACACCGAUGGCGAAGGCAGGUCUCUGGGCUGUUACUGACGCUGAGGAGCGAAAGCAUGGGGAGCGAACAGGAUUAGAUACCCUGGUAGUCCAUGCCGUAAACGUUGGGCACUAGGUGUGGGGGACAUUCCACGUUUUCCGCGCCGUAGCUAACGCAUUAAGUGCCCCGCCUGGGGAGUACGGCCGCAAGGCUAAAACUCAAAGGAAUUGACGGGGGCCCGCACAAGCGGCGGAGCAUGCGGAUUAAUUCGAUGCAACGCGAAGAACCUUACCAAGGCUUGACAUAUACCGGAUCGUUCCAGAGAUGGUUCUUCCCCUUUGGGGUCGGUAUACAGGUGGUGCAUGGUUGUCGUCAGCUCGUGUCGUGAGAUGUUGGGUUAAGUCCCGCAACGAGCGCAACCCUCGU
rnacentral:rRNA from 1 species